UACAGAGGGUGCAAGCGUUGCUCGGAUUUACUGGGCGUAAAGCGUACGCAGACGGUGAGGAAGGUCGGAUGUGAAAGCCCUGGGCUCAACCCAGGAACUGCAUCCGAAACCCCCUCGCUAGAGUAUAGGAGAGGGAAGCGGAAUUCCUGGUGUAGAGGUGAAAUUCGUAGAUAUCAGGAGGAACAUCUGAGGCGAAGGCGGCUUCCUGGCCUAUUACUGACGUUCAGGUACGAAAGCGUGGGUAGCAAACGGG
rnacentral:rRNA from 1 species